rnacentral:rRNA from 1 species
GUGAACGCUGGCGGCAGGCCUAACACAUGCAAGUCGAACGGCAGCACAAGAGAGCUUGCUCUCUGGGUGGCGAGUGGCGGACGGGUGAGGAAUGCAUCGGAAUCUGCCCAUUUGUGGGGGAUAACCUCGGGAAACCGGGACUAAUACCGCAUACGACCUACGGGUGAAAGCAGGGGAUCUUCGGACCUUGCGCAGAUGGAUGAGCCGAUGCCGGAUUAGCUAGUUGGAGGGGUAAAGGCCCACCAAGGCGACGAUCCGUAGCUGGUCUGAGAGGAUGAUCAGCCACACUGGGACUGAGACACGGCCCAGACUCCUACGGGAGGCAGCAGUGGGGAAUAUUGGACAAUGGGCGCAAGCCUGAUCCAGCCAUGCCGCGUGUGUGAAGAAGGCCUUCGGGUUGUAAAGCACUUUUGUUGGGAAAGAAAAGCAGCCGGUUAAUACCCGGUUGUCAUGACGGUACCCAAAGAAUAAGCACCGGCUAACUUCGUG